UACGAAGGGGGCAAGCGUUGCUCGGAAUUAUUGGGCGUAAAGCGUACGCAGGCGGCGCGACAAGUCGAGUGUGAAAUCCCGGGGCUCAACCCCGGACGUGCAUUCGAGACUGCCGUGCUUGAGUGCGGGAGAGGGAAGCGGAAUUCCUGGGGUAGAGGUGAAAUUCGUAGAUAUCAGGAGGAACACCGGUGGCGAAUGCGGCUUCCUGGCCCGACACUGUCGCUCAUGUACGAACGCGUGGGGAGCAGACAGG
rnacentral:rRNA from 1 species